CCUACGGGUGGCAGCAGUGAGGAAUAUUGGUCAAUGGACGAGAGUCUGAACCAGCCAAGUAGCGUGAAGGAUGACUGCCCUAUGGGUUGUAAACUUCUUUUAUAUGGGAAUAAAAUGUUCCACGUGUGGGAUUUUGUAUGUACCAUAUGAAUAAGGAUCGGUUAACUCCGUGCCAGCAGCCGCGGUAAUACGGAGGAUCCGAGCGUUAUCCGGAUUUAUUGGGUUUAAAGGGAGCGUAGGUGGAUUGUUAAGUCAGUUGUGAACGUUUGCGGGUCAACCGUAAAAUUGCAGUUGAAACUGGCAGGCUUGAGUACAGAAGAGGUGGGAGGAAUUCGUGGUGUAGCGGUGAAAUGCUUAGAUAGCACGAAGAACUCCGAUUGCGAAGGCAGCUCACUGGACUGCAACUGACACUGAGGCUCGAAAGUGUGGGUAUCAAACAGGAUUAGAUACCCGUGUAGUC
rnacentral:rRNA from 1 species